rnacentral:rRNA from 1 species
AGCGAACGCUGGCGGCAGGCCUAACACAUGCAAGUCGAACGAACUCUUCGGAGUUAGUGGCGGACGGGUGAGUAACACGUGGGAACGUGCCUUUUGGUUCGGAAUAACUCAGGGAAACUUGUGCUAAUACCGAAUGUGCCCUUCGGGGGAAAGAUUUAUCGCCAUUAGAGCGGCCCGCGUCUGAUUAGCUAGUUGGUGAGGUAACGGCUCACCAAGGCGACGAUCAGUAGCUGGUCUGAGAGGAUGACCAGCCACACUGGGACUGAGACACGGCCCAGACUCCUACGGGAGGCAGGAGUGGGGAAUCUUGCGCAACGGGCGAAAGCCUGACGCAGCCAGGCCGCGUGAAUGAUGAAGGUCUUAGGAUUGUAAAAUUCUUUCACCGGGGACGAUAAUGACGGUACCCGGAGAAGAAGCCCCGGCUAACUUCGUG